rnacentral:misc_RNA from 1 species
UAAUUUUUGUAACAGCAAUUCUUCCUGCCUUUUUAAUCAUAUGUCAACAAUUUCCAUAAUCCUAUUACCUAACUUUUGUUCCCAAGAUUGAUCUUCCAUGAUCCUCUUGUAGAGGCUGAGUGGGAUAUUGGAAAAGGAAGAAGAACAGAAAAGAAAACUGAAUAGAGGAAAGGAAAGAGAAAAUAGAAGAAAGGAGAAUUUCAGGAAUUUCCAUGAACAAGUUUCUUGAAAUGUGGGAAGUGAAAAAUUAAAGAAGAAAAAUA